rnacentral:rRNA from 1 species
GACGAACGCUGGCGGCGUGCCUAACACAUGCAAGUCGAGCGGGGUUGAAGCGAGGGGUAACUCGAGUUUCUACCUAGCGGCGGACGGGUGAGUAACGCGUGGGCAACCUGCCUCAAGGACUGGGAUAACAGCUCGAAAGGGCUGCUAAUACCGGAUAAGCCUAUGGCCUCGCAUGGGGCCAUGAGCAAAGGGGAAACCCGCCUUGAGAUGGGCCCGCGUCCCAUCAGCUAGUUGGUGAGGUGAAGGCUCACCAAGGCGACGACGGGUAGCCGGCCUGAGAGGGUGACCGGCCACACUGGGACUGAGACACGGCCCAGACUCCUACGGGGGGCAGCAGUGGGGAAUCUUGCACAAUGGGCGAAAGCCUGAUGCAGCGACGCCGCGUGAGCGAAGAAGGCCUUCGGGUUGUAAGCUCUGUCUGAGGGACGAAGGAAGUGACGGUACUCCGGAGGAAGCCACGGCUAACUACGUG